rnacentral:lncRNA from 10 species
GGUAGCAACCCGUUUGGUUAUCUUUCUGUGCUGUGGAAGGUUUGUUCUUUCACUCUGCACUAUUUUGCAAUAAAUAUUGCUAUUGCUCACUUUGGGUUUAUAUUGCCUUUAUGAGCUGUAACACUCACCAUGAAGGUCUGCAGCUUUACUCUUGAAGCUUAGCGAGACCACUAACCCACCAGAAGGAAGAAACUCCGGACACGCCGCCUUUAAGAACUGUAAUACUCAGUGCGAGGGUUCACGGCUUCAUUCUUGAGAAAGACAACGAGGAGGGAGCAGCUAGAGGGGUGGAAAUGGGAUCACGUGACCUUGCGAGAAGCAGGGAGAGAGAACACUGCGUCUGCUCCCUUUUAGAACAGCUCAAUAUAGGGAAUCCCUAACAGAGGACUUCCAGGAUAUCCUAGGGACAGCAGAGCCUCAAGAUCCAGGGAGGAUCCUGGAUACCUGAGUCACCACUUGGAGGGGAAUCUCCUGGAAGAACUGAUUGAUCAGCAACAUCUACAUUCAACUUGAGCCUAAAUCAGCAUCCAGCGGCCUUGAGGAAAAAGACUGAGGUUGCUACAGAGGAGAGCAGAAAGAAGAAGGGAGCUAACGUUCAGCUUUUGAUAUUCAAAAUGAGAUUUCUUGGCAAAAUAAUAGGAGAGGAAAAAAUUUUUCCAAGUUUCUUUAGCUCCUAUUUAACAGAUCAAGACUGGCUUUGAUGUGUUGCUCCAGUUCCCCUACCCUCUCCUGCCCUGCUUAGGCCUUGCCUCUUGGUUACAUAGAGGGAGCAGUUGUGGGGAGGAAGAGGCCACCUCUGCUGGUCUACAGUCAAGGUUGGGCAAUGUUGAGGUCAUCCUGCAAAAAGCCUGGGGUCCUGCUCUCCUAACCUUCAGCACCCCUUGAGUGUGGUGGAAGAGGGCUUUGAGUCUUGAGCAGUCAGAGAAACCACGUUGUGACUUGCUGCAAGGGCAAAUGACAAAUGAUGGCCAGGCAAACCACCUAGGGACUUUGUCAGGCAAGACACAGGACUGUGGAAGUCACAGGAGGUAUGGGGCAGCUGUCCCUCCUGGCUGGAGAACACAGCCAGCUAUGCUCCUCCCCACUGACACCCAAUCCCAUGUGGCACACAUCUCAAGGUCUGCCCUCAGUCCAUUCAUCCACUCAGGCUCCAAGAGACUCAAACCCAAGUGACUGAAUUGGAUGGAGAUUAAUGCAUGGGGUUGCAAUCAAGUACUUUCCUCCUCACCCCCACUGCUUUCUCCCUGCUACUUAGCUAGUGGGAGUUUGUGUAGACAGCACAUCUCUUAUAGGCAAUAAAGUACUAGUGUGAGGGAUUUUGUGGGCUGCUCCACAAGGCCUGUGAUCCUCCUCUUACUAUCCCCACCCCGAUGUUUUUCCUUUGCUCACCAGGGCUGGCCAGGAAGGCUGCCUCUUUCAACGUCCCCAAGGCAACCACUCUAUGUCAGCAAGGACUCCUGAACCCAUGGCAACCCACCAGCUGCUGCUCUGGGAAGUGAGACCUUACCAGCUUGCUGCCUCCCCAGCAAUGCAGCUGCCCUGUUGGUCAGGACAACCUCUCAGGAGGGUAUCAGGCCCUGGUGUACAGUCCUUUCUUCUAGAAAGAGACAAACAGUGCAAUCACCACAGCCUCCCACUUCUUCUUAGACAGAUCUCACAUCGGAUUCACAGGGGCUUCCUGGGAACAUAAUUCUGUUGAGCCUUAGAAAUCAGGUAGGAUUUUGACUGAUUUGGGAGGUUGGUUAAUUUUACUUUUAUUUUGUUCUCUACAGCUGCUGUUAAGCCUGGCUUAGGGGUCCACCCUUUCCCAGCCCCCUUCCCUUUCUUUAUAACCUGGAUUUUGCACAAUCUAUAUCUCUCUAUAUCUCUGCAUCCAUCCAUCCAUCCAUCCAUCCAUCCAUCCAUCCAUCCAUCUCCCUCCCUUUGCCCAUUUGUCUCUUUCUUGAUAUAGGCUAGACUUUCCCAAAGUAAUUUCAACAAAAAGUAAAGGAAAAAAUCAAAUGAGAUGCACACCUUUCUCUCCAAGCCACAAACAGUGCAUAACAUCAUCAGGUAGUCAGGCUUCUGAAGGUUCUCUACACACGCCUGAUCUCUCCAAUAGCUAAGGCUCUCACUUUCAGUGUGGUUAGUGGUUAGGGAAAUGGACUUGAGAGCUGGACUGCCUGGGCUCAAUUCUCAGCUCUGGUACUGGUCUCAUGGCCUUGGGAAAGUGUUUUGUUGUUGUUGUUUUGUUUUUACAUUUCUCUGCCUCAGUGCUUCUUCGGUAAAAUGGGAAUAAAAAGAGUAACUGUCUCAUAAGAUGACUGUGAGAAUGAAAUCAGUGAAUUAAUAUGUACAAAGAGCUUAAACAUCACUUGGAACAUAGUAAGUGAUAUAUGAGAGUCAGUUCUUAUGACUAGUACUGGGCACAUAAGGUGGCAAGACCCCCUUAUCCCCAUUUUUAGUUCUUGGCAAGUCCCCCUUUGACUCCAGGUUGCUAAGCACAGCUAUGCAGGUUGCACACUACAUACCCCAUCUCCACAGACUCACUCACUCACUCUUCUCCUGUGCAGGGAGGAGUUAGGGUGGCGUUUCGGGCAGAUCAUUAUGGCAAAUGGAGUUUGCAGCAGGACUAACAGGGUCACCUUCAGGGUCCUGGAUGAAGUUCAUUCUUUCAGGGCCACAGAAGCGUAGAAAACUCUUUAGUCAUAAGUUGGUGGGGGUGCCAAGAGGAAAGGCACAGCAGAGAAUGCUAAGAGCCUAAGGAUGUGACUGGAGAAUCUCCUGAAGUUAUAGAUCCUGCAGGCAGGGCUGGCUUCAGGGAAGUGCAACCUGUGCAGUCGCACUGGUCCACAUGCUUGGAAGAGGCCCCUUAUUUUCACUUUGCACUGAGUCCUCAAGUUACAUGACUGGUCAGUCCUACCCCAUAAGGCAUGGAUUGCAAAGGAGAACAAAGAAUCCACGGAGGUGAUCGACUUUGAGGUGAAGCUGGGAGAGGAAGAUGAUGGUGCCAUCAACAGAAAAAGAGUCUUUCUAUUGCCUUCUUGGCUGGCAGGCUUUGAUGACUCAGGCUGCCAUACUGAAGAUGCCCACAUGGCCAGGAGCUGGGACCUUUAUUCUAACAACCCUCAAGCAGCUGAAUCCUGCCAAUAAUCAUGUGAGCUUGGAUGUGGGUCCUUCCCUACUUGAACCUUCAGAUGAGACCCCAGCCCCAGCUGAUACUUUGACUGCAGCUUUGUGAGAGACCCUGAGACAGAGGACCGAGAUGAGCCAUGCCUUGGCUGCUGGCCCACAAAAACUGUGAGAUCAAAAUGAUGUGUUGUUUUAAGCCAUUAACUGUGUGGUAACUUGUCAAACAGUGUAUUAGGCCAUUUGUGUUGCUACAAAGGAAUACCCGAGGCUGAGUAGUUUAUUAAGAAAAGAGGUUUAAUUGGCUUAUGGUUCUGCAGGCAAUAUGAGAAGCAUGGUGCCAAUAUCUGCUUGGCUUCUGGUGUGGCCUCAAGAAGCUUACAAUCACAGCGGAAGGUGACAGGGAGCCAGCAUGUUACAUGGCAAGAACAGGAACAAGAGAGAGGAGAGGGAGCCAGGUUCUUUUAAACAGCCAGCUCUCCAGUGAAUCAGCAGAGCAAGAACUCACGCAUUGCCAUAGGGAGGGCACCAAGGCAUUCAUGAGGGACCCACUCCCAUGACCUAAAUACCCCCACAAGGCCCAGCUUCCAACAUGGGGAUUACAUUUUAAGAUGAAACUUGGAGGGGACAAAACAUCCAAGCCAUAUUCCAUAGCAACAGGUAACCAAUACACCACAUGUACCAAAGCCUUGGUCCAAGGCCCUGUCUUCAUAGAGCCCAGGCUGUCCUGCGGUCUGCACUGAGCUCACCCUCCAGGAGGCAUACUAGAGAUCUUUGCACCUCCUUCUCCUCUUACCCACAGGACAGAUAUCUUGGCCAGUCUUUCUGAAUGCCCAGCUGUCCGAGGAUGCCUUUCUUUGCUUUUCCCCUCUGUAUGGGGGCUGGAGGCAGGUGAACCCCUUGAUGAACAGGGUCUCUCUCCUGGGUUUUGCCCAGUUG